GAUAAACUAUGUGACGACACUUCGGUUUUUUAUUUUUAUUGAUUCCGUGGUUAAUCUUGAAAAAAGCGCGACCUGUAUACUGCUACUAUACUUACCAAUAACAAUUUACCGAGCUCCACUCAGAAUCGUUUUUCGGUUUAGGUAAUACAAAACUAAAAUACACCCUAUAUACAGCCAAUAUAUAUAUAUACACGGGUGUACCUUCGAAACUUAUGUAUGCGAAGUAUGUCCGGUAUUUUUCUGUAUCUCUGGUGCCAGC